AACGAACGCUGGCGGCAUGCCUAACACAUGCAAGUCGAACGAGACCUUCGGGUCUAGUGGCGCACGGGUGCGUAACGCGUGGGAACCUGCCCUUAGGUUCGGAAUAACUCCCCGAAAGGGGUGCUAAUACCGGAUAAUGUCUUCGGACCAAAGAUUUAUCGCCUUUGGAUGGGCCCGCGUUGGAUUAGCUAGUUGGUAGGGUAAAAGCCUACCAAGGCGACGAUCCAUAGCUGGUCUGAGAGGAUGAUCAGCCACACUGGGACUGAGACACGGCCCAGACUCCUACGGGAGGGAGCAGUGGGGAAUAUUGGACAAGGGGCGAAAGCCUGAUCCAGCAAUGCCGCGUGAGUAAUGAAGGCCUGAGGGUUGUAAAGCUCUUUUACCCGGGAUGAUAAUGACAGUACCGGGAGAAUAAGCACCGGCUAACUCCGUG
rnacentral:rRNA from 1 species